rnacentral:rRNA from 1 species
CAGCCGCCGCGGGAAUACGUAGGGUGCGAGCGUUAAUCGGAAUUACUGGGCGUAAAGCGUGCGCAGGCGGUUCGUUAAGACAGAUGUGAAAUCCCCGGGCUUAACCUGGGAACUGCAUUUGUGACUGGCGAGCUAGAGUAUGGCAGAGGGGGGUAGAAUUCCACGUGUAGCAGUGAAAUGCGUAGAGAUGAGGAGGAAUACCGAUGGCGAAGGCAGCCCCCUGGGCCAAUACUGACGCUCAUGCACGAAAGCGUGGGGAGCAAACAGGAUUAGAUACCCCCGUAGUCCCUGUCUCUUAUAC